UUGCUGUUGGAAUGAGAACAAAUUAAAACCUUUAGCGAGGAUCAAUUGGAGGGCAAGUCUGGUGCCAGCAGCCGCGGUAAUUCCAGCUCCAAUAAGGAACAUUAAAUUUGUUGCAGUUAAAAAGCUCGUAGUUGAAUUUCUGCGCGUCGUCGCUGAGCCGCAUUGGAGAAAUCUUUUGCGCGUCUCGGCCGCGCGCAUGCUCGCGUUGACCCUGAAUGGUUUACUCUGUUUUGUGGAAGGCGCGUCUUUUACUGUGAACAAAACGAAGCGUUCAUGGCAGGCUUUGAGCUUGAACGAAUCGCACGGAAUAAUGAAAACGGCCUUGCUCGUUUUCGUUGGUUCGCGAAUGAGGUUAUUGGUUAACAGGAACAGUUGGGGGUAUUCGUACUUCAACGCUAGAGGUGAAAUUCUUGGAUUGUUGAAUGACGAACGACUACGAAGGCAUUUACCAAGGAUGUUUUCAUUAAUCAAGAACGAAAGUUUGGGGAUCGAAGAUGAUUAGAUACCAUCGUAGUCCAAACAGUAAACGAUGCCGACUCGGGAUCCGAGCGUGUUGAAUUAAUGACCGCUCGGGCACCGUAUGAGAAAUCAAAGUCUUAGGGUUCCGGGGGGAGUAUGGUCGCAAGGCUGAAACUUAAAGGAAUUGACGGAAGGGCACACCAGAGGUGGAGCCUGCGGUUUAAUUUGACACAACACGGGGAAACUUACCAGGUCCAGACAUGACGAGGAUUGACAGUUUGAAAGCACUUUCUUGAUUUUAUGGGUGGUGGUGCAUGGCCGUUCUUAGUUGGUGGAGUGAUUUGUCUGGUUGAUUCCGAUAACGAACGAGACCCGGACUGCUAAAUAGCGACCCGUUACAUUUUGUAGCGCAGGCGCUUCUUAGUGGGACAACUCGGUUUUACCGAGCGGAAGCACCGGGCAAUAACAGGUCUGUGAUGCCCUUAGAUGUUCUGGGCCACACGCGCGCUACAAUGACGGGUUCAACGAGUUUUUUCCUUGCUCGGAAGGGCAUGGGUAAUCUUCUCAAUGCUCGUCGUGAUGGGGCUAGAUUUUUGCAAUUAUUAAUCUUCAACGAGGAAUCUCUAGUAUGUGCGAGUCAUCAGCUCGCGCAGAAUGCGUCCCUGCCCUUUGUACACACCGCCCGUCGCAGCUACCGAUUGGAUGGUCCGAUGAAAAGUUUGGAGAUGAGAUUGGUUCGCGAGGACUGGUUUCGUCAAAGCUCUCUGAAUCUUAUCAUCUAGAGGAAGCUGAAGUCGU
rnacentral:rRNA from 1 species